GCAUCCUCCGGGUCGAUGAUGCGACGCACCACCAGGUAGUCACGCAAUGCGAUGGAGUGCCGGUUGUC
rnacentral:sRNA from 1 species